AUUUUUUUUAAUACUGUUUUGACGUUCACUGCUUCCAGUAUCUUCCAAGAAUCUACUUUUUUGUGCCAAAUGAUGGAAUGCAUACAGCAGGAAAACAGCUCACAAUUCUUCAGACUGUGAACUCUCCAACUCUCCACUCUCAUUUGGCACUGAGAAAGUACAAGACAAGAGAUGACCUGAAAUGUUAAGCUGUAAGAGGAAGAUUUUGCUCUUAUCAGCAGCUCCUUCAUACCUAGAAUGAGGUACCUGCUCUGUUGCAACAGCACCUGGAAUUCAAAAUCACCUUGUAGCAGCCAGCCCACCUUGGCAUCUUUCUUUGCUGACAAAGAAGUAACGUGGAGGGGAGAGAAGAGAAUAGAUAAAGGAUAAUAUUUCCUGGGUGUUAAAUACUUUUCAUCGGGAUGAUCAACUUCAGUGCUUUUUAGUGACUUUUAAUCCUUUUAACUCUUUUCUGAGCAUCUGUUUCCCUACUAUGCAGUUCAAUGCUGUCUGUAAAAAGUGAUUUGAUUGAUGUGUAAUGAAAUCUUACCUAAAUACUUAAGUAAAGUAUUGAUUGAACAAUUAUACUUCAUUUAUACUGAAGUGUUAUUUCUUCCUUCGUUCAGUUCUCUGUUCCUUGAUCUGAGAUUCUAUAGAUCCUUGUUAUGACUCUAUUUAUAAGAACUGACACCUUUAGGCUGUAAAUCAAUUUUCCAUUUUCAUUGUAUUGGAGAAAUUGCUUUUCAGUAUGAUUCUGCUCCUUCAAAGGACAGGUUCAGUGCAUCACUUAUACUUGAUUGAUCCACUACGUUUACUUUUGAAGAACUUGGCAAGGUUCACAGGUGGAGUACUCUGACAUAUUCCUAUUGCUAAAAAAGCUAAUUUAAUAUUAAUGUUGAACUUUCUCACCUAGAACUGAAUGGACAGCUAUCAGGUUGGUUUGUGUGAUAGUGGAAUCAUUUCCCUGUUCAAUACCAUGUAGUUCUUGUACAUCCUAGUUUAUACUGUUUUUUCAAUUGUUAUUACUUUUUAUUCCCACUCUCUAAAACAAUCGGGACCAGCCACCAUCCUGCAGCCAGUUGAAGGAACAUUUCUAUUGCAGAUUAAAUAAAGAAUAUGAAUAAGCACAUUUGUUAAAGGAAAAGUCACAGUCACCUGGCUAUUGAAACAAAUGAAGGAUGUAUUUUUAAAUUGUACAUUCAUCUGGCUGGUUUAGGUAGUGCAUAUCUGUCCCGAGUCUCAACUUCAUCAAAGUUCUAAUGGAGCACUAGAAUUUGUUUAUGCUGUUCUAUGUACUUAACUUGACAACUUUGUUUUCAUCCUGUUAACUUUAAUUACUUAUUUUGAAGUCAACAGAUAUGUUAAAAAAAAAUCUAUCAAAACCAAAUAAGCUAAGAAGCAAACAAACAAACAAACAAAAAAACCCACUUUAUCUGGUUUUGAACAUUUUAUUUACUGAAUAUUUUCUUGAGUAUAAAAUUUAAAAAUGCAUCUUUCAUUUGUUUCAUUUUUACAACAUAAGAAUAAAAAUGGAAAAGUUUUACAACUAUGUGUACAUUUUUUCUUCGUUAAUAGUUUGUGACAUUCUUUUUAAUUACAAAGCUUAGCUGGCCUAGUGUGUGUGUUAUUUAUCAUCUUUGAAACAGUAAUACUUUAAUUAGGACACUAUGAGAUUUCUUCAUUUAUACUGAGAAUAUUUCUUCACAAGUUGAAUUUAUGAGUUUGGCAUCCUGUACUACACUACAUUAAUGAUGGCAUGAAAGGUGUGAAUAAACAUUGAGAUGCUUGGAUCUAAGAAUUCAGCUUCAGGUAAUUAAUUUUGAAAUUCUAUAAACUCUAUGCAGAUUUUAAAACACAUUAUGCGUACAACAUCUGCAAUAAAAAGCACAGUCAGUAUUCUCAGGUAGUCUUAAGUGAAUAGUGGUGGAUAUAUCAGCUCAAGUUAGAUAAAUGAAGACUUAAAUAGCUAUAUGAUUAUGAAAUUGACAUUAUUCAAAUAUUUUAUAAUACUUCAAGACUUGUAAAUUUCAAAAACGAUUAAAUAUGAUUGAAUUAGCCAUAUUUUAAAUUGAAUUUAUAUUUAUUUAUAUUUAUAUUUAUUUCUAAUAAUUAUUGGACUUUCCUUUUCUGAUUGAUGUACCUGUUGAAGCCUUUAUUAUCCUUCUUUGCAC
ensembl:lncRNA